rnacentral:sRNA from 1 species
UUGCUGUAUGCUUCUGGAGAGCUGAGAUGUGUCUUAUCGAUCCAGCUUUUUGACUCUGAAAUGAGCUUUGAGUACAUGAAUGAGUGAGCAAAUGAAUCCAUAAUGCUAGUAGAGGUUUUGCAACCUGUGUUUUCAAAGAUCCUCAUUGCCAGUUUUUAUGUUAAGGAGUCAGUCACUGCCAACAUAAAGUUAAGAAAGCUAGGCGCUUUCUCCCUUUGGUCUUCUGUUCCCAUGAUCCUCCUUCUACGGAUGAAAUUAGUGGGGACGAAACAGAUGAUUAUGCUGAGAUUAUAGAUGAAGAAGAUACUUACACCAUGCCCUCAACCAGGGAUUAUGAGAUUCAAAGAGAAAGAAUAGAACUUGGACGAUGUAUUGGAGAAGGCCAAUUUGGAGAUGUACAUCAAGGCGUUUAUAUGAGUCCAGAGAAUCCAGCUUUGGCGGUUGCAAUUAAAACAUGUAAAAACUGUACUUCGGACAGCGUGAGAGAGAAAUUUCUUCAAGAAGCCU